rnacentral:rRNA from 1 species
GGACUACCCGGGUUUCUAAUCCUGUUUGAUCCCCACGCUUUCGGGUCUGAGUGUCAGUGUGUGGCCAGUUACCCGCCUUCGCCUCCGGUAUUCCUCCUGAUAUCUACGUAUUUCACCACUACACCAGGAAUUCUAGUAACCUCUCCACCACUCAAGCUUCGCAGUAUCGAAUGCACUUCCGAGGUUAAGCCCCGGGCUUUCACAUCCGACUUACAAAGCCACCUACACCCGCUUUACGCCCAAUGAUUCCGAACAACGCUAGGGUCCCUCGUCUUACCGCGGCUGCUGGCAC